rnacentral:tRNA from 1 species
GGACAUUUAGCUCAGUUGGUUAGAGCGCACGGUUCACAUCCGUGAGGUCGGAGGUUCGAAUCCUCCAAUGUCCACCA